CUUCCUCGUGUUACUACGUCGCAUAACCUCUCACUUCUUCUCGACCCGACGUCGCAUAGCCACUCACUUCUUCUCGAUCCUAUCGGCGCAAAAGACACUCCAACAGAGCUCCUUCGAUAUCCUUCUCGUUCCCCAAACCGCGCCUCCAACAUCCUUCUUUGGUUUCCUAAGACGUGGCUCAAGCGAUGGAUAAUCUCCUGAAGGGGUUACUGUGGUGGGUCACUCUUACGUGCGCGACCGUAGGAUCGGUGUCUGUCGGUGAUCUGUCACAGCGCCUUGAUGUAACUUCGCCAUCGUCGACCCUGGCAACCGAUGCUUUGAUCAAACUGGUGGACAUUUCGAGGGCCGUCUGCCUGCACAAUGCCAAUGUACUGGGAUGCCACGUCCUGGAUGGCUCUUUGGGGAGAGGUGAGCCUGCUCUUUUCUCCUCAUG
rnacentral:lncRNA from 1 species